GACGUAGGGUGCGAGCGUUGUCCGGAAUUAUUGGGCGUAAAGAGCUCGUAGGCGGUUUGUCGCGUUGUUCGUGAAAACUCACAGCUCAACUGUGGGCGUGCGGGCGAUACGGGCAGACUGGAGUACUGCAGGGGAGACUGGAAUUCCUGGUGUAGCGGUGGAAUGCGCAGAUAUCAGGAGGAACACCGAUGGCGAAGGCAGGUCUCUGGGCCGAUACUGACGCUGAGGAGCGAAAGCGUGGGGAGCGAACAGG
rnacentral:rRNA from 1 species